rnacentral:rRNA from 1 species
CCUACGGGAGGCUGCAGUGAGGAAUAUUGGUCAAUGGGCGGAAGCCUGAACCAGCCAAGUAGCGUGCAGGAUGACGGCCCUACGGGUUGUAAACUGCUUUUAUCCGGGAAUAACGCGCCUUACGUGUAGGGCUUUGCAUGUACCGUAUGAAUAAGGACCGGCUAAUUCCGUGCCAGCAGCCGCGGUAAUACGGAAGGUCCGGGCGUGAUCCGGAUUUAUUUGGUUUAAGGGGAGCGUAGGCCGCAGGUCAAGCGUGAGGUGAAAUGUCCGGGCUCAACCCGGGCCUUGCAGCGCGAACUGGCGUGCUUGAGUCCGCGGAAAGCAGGCGGAAUUCGUCGUGUAGCGGUGAAAUGCUUAGAUAUGACGAAGAACCCCGAUUGCGAAGGCAGCUUGCUGCAGCGGAACUGACGCUGAUGCUCGAAAGCGCGGGUAUCGAACAGGAUUAGAUACCCUGGUAGUC